GGGGUACCACAGGGUAGCUCUAAAUCCUGUCGUGAUUCAGGGAGGAGGAGAUUUGAUUCAUAGGAAAAUGCAAGCGAUGUGUGCCACUGAUUUGGGUCAUCUGUACGCAAUUCAAAAGGAAAAGCACACUCCGGCAUGCCCCCUGGUGUGCCCUCUGCAAUGGGAGGCAGAACAGAGAGCUGGUCAGCCCUGGCCCAUGAUUAAUUUGAGGAAAGAAAAUGGGUCAUUCUGAAAAUAUAGAAGAACUUGAUACAAGGUAUGUUUGUGCCUCUGAGCGGACAAGGUAAAUGAGAUCAUCAGGGAAAUGUGGAUCAAAACACAAGAGAAGACAAAAAGGUUGUGUGAUGAAAGGAUGAAAAACAGGAAAAAGUACGAUAUUGAUUCUUUCUGAAAUGAAGGGCCAAGAAAAUGACCCAGGAGCUGGAAGGGCAUAGCUGCUGUUCUGAAUGAGGUGUCGUCGUGGAUUCUUGUCUUCAUUUUCUCUACGUGACUUAAAUCAGUUCUCCUAGAAAUGUUUUGCAGCCUGAAUGGGAGUACUGUGUAGCCUGACCCUACAGAAACCAAACUAACAUCUGGAUCUGGAGUUCAUGGAUGACUCCUCAGAAAUAAAAUACGUGAAACUGGAAUCCCA
rnacentral:lncRNA from 1 species